rnacentral:hammerhead_ribozyme from 1 species
GCAUUGUUGACGAGUCCCACACAAGACGAAACAGUUGUCCAGUGU